rnacentral:lncRNA from 1 species
GUAUUUUAUUUUGUUUUAUUUGUGAAGUGGUGUAUUCAUUUACAUAUUUAUUUGAAAAUGAAUAAAUUCAUUGAUUAAAUUUUUUUUCUCUCUUUCUUAUCCUUAAACAUGUUUAUAAAGUCAGGUUAAAAACAGCAACAUCUCAGCAGUUGUUUGGAAUUCUUCUUAGUGAUUGAACUCUAAUCAGAUGAGCACUAAUAUUGCCUAUAAGACACGUUAAAAGCAGAUAAUUUCAUAUUAAAGCCAGAAUUCACCCCAAAAUUGACCAUAAAGCAAACCAUUGUAUCUUUCCAAACCUAUAUUCUUUCUUAGAAAACAAAAGGAGAAGUGCACAAGUCAUAAUGACAGGAAGUACAAUUAUUUUUUCCAUAUCAAUAGAUGGUACUAUUGUCCUCAAGCUCAACAGACUCCACUGAUUUUGCUAAUUCAGAGUUUCAAUGCAAAUUAACUGAUGUCUGUCUCAUAUUUAAACAGCUACACUGUUGAAGAGAGGAUUCAUCGCCAGAUCAGCCUUGAUAUAACCAUGCUCACGUUAUAUCUCUUGUUGUUGCUGUCUGCCGUGUCUUGUAUUGACUGUCAGGUUGUGCUCACACAGUCUGAACAGUCAGUAGUUGUGGCUCCAGGUGGUUCCUACAAACUGACCUGUGCCUGCAGUGGGUUCCUCAAAGGAACUCAAGCUGCAUCGCAGGACGCUUUGGGAACGCCCUUCAGCGUGACUGGCCCUGAAUCAUGUGUGUAAUCUGUCCAAUGGAUGGGCGAGACGUCAUAGGCGGGUGACGUCAGAGACCAGAAAGCUUAAAAGCACAUGCUCCAUUAUGUCAAAGCUUCAGUCAAGACAAGUUUUGGGGGAGAGCAGGCAGCGUUCAGGCUGUGUGUUUUCCCUGCCCGCAAAGAAAAAAAAGGGGUAGGGACGUUGUGUUCACGGGUUUCACUUUCAGAUCCGGUCGAAAGGAAUGUAGACGGGCAAAUCCUUAUCUUCUUCCUUAACCACCAGAUCCGGUGCUGAUAUUAUAAUGGGCAGCAUUAAUUUAAUUCUAUAUAUAAUAUAAUGAAAUAUUUAUCUGACUAUGCGAAGUAAGAUACACAGGGGCUCUUGGGAUAUAAUUUCUCGAAUGAGAACACAUGUUUACCUCUCUUCCUCUGAGGAGGUUGAGGCGGUCAGCAAGGGCUGCUGGGAGGGACCAGUCACAACUACACCAUGUUCCAGCCCCUCGUGCUGGGGGUGUCACUUCUCAUAAGCCGCAGAAUCUAGAGUCAGAGUGGCGCUCCCAGGCCGAAGGCUUCUAGCGGAAGGCGGUUCUGCGGACCAUCAUUCUCGCUGGAUAGUCUUUGUCAUAAAUGUCCUGACGCCUAAGGCCUAGGACUUUUUAAGGGCCAGCUCCCUCUGGGGAAGAGCGGAUUACACGGUGCCCGUUUCUCCUCAGUGCCCUCAGGAGAUCGAUCUGCCAACCCUGCCAAAGUUCCAGGGGCGUAGCGGUCUCCGGCGAGCGCUUCUCUCAGUUACUGCCCGGAAACAUAGCAAUACUAAGAGGCUCACUACCUCUAUGGAUGUCUCUAGAGCAGCUAGUAUGGUCGUCCCCUGCCGGUCCGCCACUUCAGGGCACCGAGCUAGCUGCUCUAGGCGCACCAGAGGACUGUCUCGUGAGACUGGUUCCCUUAGGAGAUCACAAGGCGGUGUGGGAGCCACUCCCAAGUGUGCUUCAUUGGAUCCUGCCCCGAGCAGGCUCUGGUCUAGUCUUCCUAGCAGACGAUGUGGGUCUGAGGACCGCCAGUUUUAAUAGGAGACUUCAGCUUUGAGAGUCCUGGAUGCUGUGGCUCAGGACCUUGGCGGGCAGGCCCCUCUGGGGAAGAGCGGUGUACACCGCAUUACACGGUGCCCGUCUCUCCCCAGUGCCCUCAGGAGAUCGAUCUGCCAACCCUGCCGGUGUUCCAAGGUGCAGCGGUCUCUGGCGAGCACUUCUCUCAGUUACCGCCCGGAAACGUAGCGGUGCUAAGAGGCUCGCAACCUCCACGGAGGUUUCCAGAGCAGCUAGUUUGGCUGUCUCCUGCCGGUGCACCGCUUAAGGGCACCGAGCUAACUGCUCUGUUGACACCGGAGAACAGUUUUGAGAGGCUGAUUCCCUUAGUAGACUAUUUGGCAGCGUGAAAACUAUUGCCAAAUGUGUCUCAAUGGGUCCUGCACACUGUAGUGAGAGGCCACAGAAUCCAGUUCCGUUCUCC